GGCUUCCUAGCUUACCUGGUAGAGCGCUUGCCACGUUGAGGCAUGCUGUUUCAGUCGCUGGUUUGAAUCCAGCGGAAGCCC